ACUUUUUUCCAAACAAAAAUGGCAUCUGUCCCUUUAUAAUAUUAACCCCUAACACUCAAGGGAUUUUUAAUGAUUUUGUUUUAGUAAAAUUAAAAUUAAAGCAGCUCUUGUUGUGCGUUUCUAUUACAGACAAAGAAGUGGUUAUGUAGUAAAGUGAUACUAAGUGAAGACACACAGUUAUUCAUAAAAUAGAGCCUUAACCUUUGUUAGUUAAACGAAAUAGAAAGGUCUUUUCUGUUUUUUCAGUGUGAGUGAUUUUCAUCUGAUUUUUGUAAGUGAUCGAUCUAGAAGUAUCCUACAGUUCUUAUUUGCCAUGUUCUUAACAUACUGUUUUAGUUAAUAAAGAUAUUGAGUGCACAUUAAUUCACAAAGGUAUUUGCAAUAUAUUUGACUCCUUUUCAUGUUUCUUCUUUUUCUCAACAGGAGCUACAUACACCCCAAAGUCUCUUUUCAGAGCCCAGGCCCAUUUUACACAGCGUCUUUUCCUUUGUACAGUGGUGUGACUCCUCUUCUGUCCGGCAUUACGGCUGCAGUGUACCUGGCGCGUCAGCACACACGACGGCUGAAACUACAGUGUGGUCACCCCAGUGGACCAGCACCACAAACGUCUGGAUUGAGCCGAGUAGGGGACAUCUCUAGGGUCUUCACAUAUUGAUACACACAUAAAUUGAAGCUGAACCCCAUUUGUGAGUGUCCUUUCACAUCCGUUACACUGCCGUGACUCUGUGGAUCCCUUGAUCAGCUUGAUGAAGAUCGACCGUGAUUGCUGUGUACAGAUCGAGUUCAUCGGUGGUUCAAGUCUUCAUUGCUGUGAGCAGGUCAAGUUCGUCAGUAGGGUCAAGUCUUCAAUUCUUUGGAUGCGGACAGUAUACAAACACUCACACACUGGGACUGUCAUUGGGACUGUACAUUAGUUAUUACAUACACAACGCAUGGACACAUGGAAUGUAGUUCUGAUUUGACUGUCAUUGCAAUCAAAAUAUAAUUUCAAGUAGUGAGUUUUCUCAUAAUCAAUAUUGUCGAUAUUUCUCUUGUUUUAUUUAGAAAAAUAAUAAUAACAUUACAUUUUUCAGGCACAACUUUUGAUUUCAUUAUGGCUGAGAAACCUGAAUAUGUUGGUGAUCUAGAUGCAUCAUGUUGUGGUAACAUGGGUUUCCCUAGAGGUAGGGGUACAUGGCUACUGAGCAGCGCCGAAGGUGCUACUUUCAGCGAAGACGUCAAUCGGGGGGUUGGACGACCACAGUUAUAUGAUGACAAUGGUAGGGGUAUUGGGUUGAGUCAGUUCCCGGGUGGUACUCCUGUUGGUCGGGUUUCUGGUGAGGGUCCAUACACCUCGACACCUGGUGUUGAUAGAGUUGCUUUUGACCACCUCACAGACAUGGUAGGCCAGUUAGGUUCGCAAAUAGGCGAGUCAAUAGUUGCAAAACUAGUGUCUGCUGGGUAGCCUAAAUGCCUAAGCUUGAAGUGUUAAUAUUUUUCCUUGUUAUAAUGAUUUGCAAAAAUAAAAACGGCUGCAUCUGUGUUGACCAGAGAAUCAAAAGUGUAUGCGCGUUGUGCAAGCUACAUAAUGGCCAAGCAUGCUGGUUUUUGCUGGUAUACGUUGCAAAUAAAUGGGCAGCAAAAUAGUUUUUCGCCUAGAGCGGCAGAAGUGCACGCGCCGGUGUCCUGGCUGUAAACACUGAUGAUGCGAGCGAAAUACUGGAGUGAACAUGGCUGUAAAUGACCUUUGCUUCAGUUUGAAAAACCCCGGAAUGUUCUCCAUAACAGAGCGAAUUGCGAAUUGUCUUGUUUCCCAUUCCUGCGGUUGUUUCGGUUUUCGAUUUCUCUAAACUACAAUGUAAAUCUCUGCGCUUAGCGUCUACGUCACGGCUCUCAGCCCGCCCUCUGUUCGUUGAUUGGGCGGCUGUUUUCAGGCCGGUGGAAAACUGAAAGAUAGGCCGCUAUCUCAGACUCACUACAGGAACGAAAUGAAAUUAGCGGAAGUAGGAAGUCUGACGUAGUCAGGCUAACAUAAAGUGCUGCCGAGACUGCAAUAAACAGGUAGUAGUGAGAAAGCUCAACAUGUUUGUCACGGUGUAAUGCGCGCGUUCGAAACCCGUGCAAAGAUGGUUUUUUAUUAAUAUUAGAUCAUAGCAAUAUUUUGUCAUCUUUACAAGAAUACGAAACGCAUGUAAAGAGCAAGUCUGCGUUUAUUAGACAGCUUAAUGUCGCGUCAGUUUGUGCUUUCAGAAUCGACGAAUCUGCUCCUACGAAUCUACGAUCUGUGCACAUCUGCAGCGGGUGAUCUGAACAGGAAGUUGAUCACCAGUUAACACGGUCACCACCGGUCCCGCGUCUCACACGGAGAAGCGAAAUAAACGGGGAGCGACGACGGCAGAUCGAGAGAGAACCAGGCCUGAAUUUAUGAAGUUUUGUUUCUGUUGUGUGUAA